rnacentral:lncRNA from 1 species
GGAUGUUCAACAGUCUACGUGCUCGUAACUUGCUGACGAGACCUCCUUGCUGUUGCAACUCUGAGGACAAUUGCUUCAAAUGGGCAGGAACAACCAGCACUGCCAGCGCUAUUUGUACAUGAGGACACCUCCUUGCUGUUGCAACUCUGAGGACAAUUGCUUCAAAUGGG